rnacentral:lncRNA from 9 species
GAGGGGAAAGAUGAAGUUCCUUUCCCCAAUUUCUCACACUUCCUCUCCUAGUCAAGGAAGCUUUGUGAGUUGAAAGGAUGAAUGUGAGACGGCCACAAUGGUUUCGUGAAAAGGGGACCAUUUAUUGAAAUCAAAAUACAAUCCUUAUCCACGUUCAGUGUGAGGGCCCAGGACCCCGAGAUGCAGGUAUUCCUGAGAAGGUUCCGAAAUGAUAUUGGCCCUAUCGGAGCCAAUACCGAUGAGGCACGCUGGUGCCAGCAGAUGUAACUGGGAGGAGGGAGAGCAUCAGCUCAAGAGAGCAGUUGGACUGGAAAGGGAGAGAUCCACUGUCCCUGUCUAGGGCGAUGUCACAGGUGUAGGUCUCGGCGUGGCGGUGGGUGUUUCGACCCAGCUGUCUGUCUGACCAAGGCAUCCAACCUGGGUGGGACUGGGGAAGGCCGAGCCCUCCCGGUGCGAGCGUCCCGCUUCCUGGGGAAGCUGAGGAGCGAGGGUUGCCCGGGGACUUGCGGGCACCUGUGGGCCCUGUGUGGAACAGCAGGCCCACAGCCCUGCUGGGGCACGGCUGGAGCUCGAAGUGGAGGUGGGCCAGCCUUUGUCUCAUGGCCGCGUUUUCCCUUCUGAGCUGCAGGAGCUGUCUCUCCGCCCACAGAGCUGCCAUCCCUGUUUCGUGGGCUCUUGUCUCAUGGAAGAGGAUCCCGUUCUGGACCCGCGUUCUCUGCUUCCAUCCCUCCGUUUCCCGGCAGAGCCUUUCCAGGCAUUGCCGAAGAUGAGCGUUUUCCUGCAGCCCAACCAUGAGUUUCUCGCGGAGGUGGUGGACCUUCUCCUGGGCUGUCUGCAAGGCGUUUUGGGCCUGGGUCCCUUGGGCUUGGUACGCUUCUGAGGUGGCUCCAAGGGACUGGAUCUGUCCUUGGAGACGAGCCCACAUGAGCCCGAGACAGCAGAGGUCAAAGGUCCCAAAAUGGAGUUUGAAGGAAAAAGCCCGGCCUGCCAGAAGCCACGCUGGAGUGCCCUGCGGUGGAGAUGCUGGCUGGCCCUGUGUUGAGCUGGGUUCCUAUCUGAACAUGUCCGUUGGCUCUGAAGCUGUAAGGUGUGUUCCCUUCAGAAACCCGUGUCUCUUCGGAAGGACUCCAGUGAUGCUUCCCAAAGGAGCUGUCUCUCCGCCCACAGAGCUGCCAUCCCUGUUUCGUGGGCUCUUGUCUCAUGGAAGAGGAUCCCGUUCUGGACCCGCGUUCUCUGCUUCCAUCCCUCCGUUUCCCGGCAGAGCCUUUCCAGGCAUUGCCGAAGAUGAGCGUUUUCCUGCAGCCCAACCAUGAGUUUCUCGCGGAGGUGGUGGACCUUCUCCUGGGCUGUCUGCAAGGCGUUUUGGGCCUGGGUCCCUUGGGCUUGGUACGCUUCUGAGGUGGCUCCAAGGGACUGGAUCUGUCCUUGGAGACGAGCCCACAUGAGCCCGAGACAGCAGAGGUGAGAGGGCUGGCUCUUCGGUCCUUUUCCCAGGAAGCCUUCCCUGUUGGGAGAUGACGUGUUGGGGAUGGGAGGAAGUGCCGCCAAGCACAGGCAUUGCAACGUGGGAGCGCUGGCCUCCACAGCGGGUGACUGGAGGGCUUCAAGGCCUCGGGCCCUCCGUCCGUUCUUCCCCCGGCCUUUCUGUAGACUUCGGCCCAGCCAGAACCCCUCUCGGCCGGCUCUCCUCCUCUUCUGAAAGGACGGCCGCUCUGGACGACCCAGACCAGCAGAGCGGCCCAGAGUGGGGUCUCCCAGGGAAGCCCCAGGAGACCCAGAACUGCUCUCAAGGUGUCCGACAGCACCAGGAGAGUGUCCCCCAGGAGCUCCAGGGCCGGCAGCCCAAACAUUGUGGUGGCAGGGAGCAGGCCCUCUGCGGCCCCACAGGCACCACCGCUCUGCCUCUGCCCGUGGGCCACAACUGACCCCACGGAACUCUGCCGCCCCAACACGCGGGUGCCUGGCAACCAGGGCAGAUGGCCGUUGGGGCUGGGGGAGGGGGAGGCCCGCCAGGUUCUAGAAAGCCCUGCUCUCGGAUGGCUCCGCCCCCUGCUCAGUGAUGUCACCUGAGCAGUGCCUUUGGGGCGAGCCAAGGGCGGAUGGCCGCCUGGAGCUGGAUGUGGCCACGAGCCAACCUCGAAGGUCAGGCGCUGCCCUGGCUCUGCUGGCUGUCAGGUUUCCCACCUGGAAAAUGAUCAGGCUGGUGGCAAGACAGGCGACGACCUCAGACGUUGUCCACCUGGAGGGUGCAUUCGUUUUUCCUGAAACUCACCGUUUCAUUUUCUCCAAUUUCAACAUUUAGUUAUGUGCACAAAAUUGUGAAUCAUCCAGUCAUCUUUCAUGAUUUCUUUG